AGAGUUUGAUCCUGGCUCAGGACGAACGCUGGCGGCGCGCCUAACACAUGCAAGUCGAACGGAGCUUAGAGAGCUUGCUUUUUAAGCUUAGUGGCGAACGGGUGAGUAACGCGUGAGUAACCUGCCCUAGAGUGGGGGACAACAGUUGGAAACGACUGCUAAUACCGCAUAAGCCCACGGUGCCGCAUGACACUGAGGGAAAAGGAUGUAUUCGCUUUAGGAUGGACUCGCGUCCAAUUAGCUAGUUGGUGAGGUAACGGCCCACCAAGGCGACGAUUGGUAGCCGGACUGAGAGGUUGAACGGCCACAUUGGGACUGAGACACGGCCCAGACUCCUACGGGAGGCAGCAGUGGGGAAUAUUGCACAAUGGGGGAAACCCUGAUGCAGCGACGCCGCGUGGAGGAAGAAGGUUUUCGGAUUGUAAACUCCUGUCGUUAGGGACGAUAAUGACGGUACCUAACAAGAAAGCACCGGCUAACUACGUGCCAGCAGCCGCGGUAAAACGUAGGGUGCAAGCGUUGUCCGGAAUUACUGGGUGUAAAGGGAGCGCAGGCGGGAAGACAAGUUGGAAGUGAAAACCAUGGGCUCAACCCAUGAAUUGCUUUCAAAACUGUUUUUCUUGAGUAGUGCAGAGGUAGAUGGAAUUCCCGGUGUAGCGGUGGAAUGCGUAGAUAUCGGGAGGAACACCAGUGGCGAAGGCGGUCUACUGGGCACCAACUGACGCUGAGGCUCGAAAGCAUGGGUAGCAAACAGGAUUAGAUACCCUGGUAGUCCAUGCCGUAAACGAUGAUUACUAGGUGUUGGGGGAUUGACCCCCUCAGUGCCGCAGUUAACACAAUAAGUAAUCCACCUGGGGAGUACGACCGCAAGGUUGAAACUCAAAGGAAUUGACGGGGGCCCGCACAAGCAGUGGAGUAUGUGGUUUAAUUCGA
rnacentral:rRNA from 1 species